rnacentral:rRNA from 1 species
UACGGAGGGUGCAAGCGUUAUCCGGAUUUACUGGGUUUAAAGGGUGUGUAGGCGGGCUAUUAAGUCAGUGGUGAAAUCUCCGGGCUCAACCCGGAAACUGCCAUUGAUACUAUUAGUCUUGAAUUUUGUUGAGGUAGGCGGAAUAAGUCAUGUAGCGGUGAAAUGCAUAGAUAUGACUUAGAACACCAAUUGCGAAGGCAGCUUACUAAGCAAAAUAUUGACGCUGAGGCACGAAAAGCGUGGGGGAUCAAAACAGGG